rnacentral:rRNA from 1 species
ACCUGCUUGUCAAUAUUUGAUCUCAUCAAAUCACAAAAGCUAAGCAAGGCAGAGCCUGGUUAGUACUUGGAUAGGAGACUGCUGAGAAUACCGGAC